UGCGGUGUGGGGACCAAAAUGCCGGUCCCCAUGAGGAUUACCCUUUUAAAUGAAUACUAUAGCUACUCUGAAGGUGCCUGUGAAGUUUGAAGCAUUGGCCCAUAUUACAUGUUUUUUGGUAAAUGUUAGUGUGUGAGCAUUGCUCAGUAGUGUCCCUACUUUUUCUAGCUAGUACUGCACCCACUGCUUCACACACACACAUCUUCCAAAUAUGGUUGGGUGCCACCCACUUCCUGGUCCCCAUUAGUAAUGAUUAAAGCAGCGAUGACAUUUUCAGCAAUCAACAGUAAAAGAAGACUUUUUGCUGGAGAAACUAGCUAAGAAGAUAAGAACUUGUGCAGAGGAGCAAAAGUAAGACAUAAGGUAAGCACAGUUGUAUCUUAAAUAAGUAUAAGCAGUGUUGAACCCUCAAAUUACAUUAAUUACCAUUACCUAGCUAGCAUGAUUAAUAGCUCUGAUUAGCUACAAAGGCUAAGUGUAUGACCUCAAAUGUUUUACUGCGUUUCUCUAACUACUUGCAAGCAUGAUGCAUAUGUGAAGGAGUUUAUGUGCAGAGGAAAUGUAACCUGGCUGCUCUGGAUAACCUCUAUUUGGAAGCUGGUUAUGAACAGGCCCUUUAAACUUUUCUUAUUUAACAAUGGGCACGUUCAUGUGGAAGAGGCAGAGCAGGUUAUUAAAGCAUCAUGGUCAGAGGCAUACAUCUGGAAUUAAAUGAUAGAAGGAGGAUUCAGGAUAAUGUGGACAUGUCCAAAUGCUUGUAACAUUGGUGUACAUGCAAAACAAAAUACAAUGACUAUUAUUUUGCCAUCAUCUUCGAUGUGCUGUAAACAAAAAUACUAUGCUCUCUGCUACUGAAUGUGUACAUCAUGUCAUGCCUCUGGCUUGCUCUACCCAGGCACGUCCUCCUGUCUGAAUUCUCCUGCUGUUUUCUUUAUAUGUGAAAGCCAUACUCCUUCACAAUUAUUCAGACAUUAUCAUUUCUCAUUUAAGCUGUUUUCAGGCAUGACCUGCAGGUAAAAUCCAAAUAAUUGGCUACAGUAUUGACCCAGUUUACCUUUCACACAUGCACAAGACAGAUAUACAGUACAUAUGUUUGUAUGUGUGUAAAGUUUAUGCAACAACGCACAAGAGUAUGCAUCACCCUGUAGGCAGAAACUAUACUCAUGACAAAGAGUAAAGGAGAAGGUUUCUGUAGUUGAAUUUUGCAAGAAAAACAACCCUCAUGAGGAUUGAGGCAACAACAGCAAUUUUUAAUACCACCAGUCUUACUAAGCAAGUAAACAAUUUUUUUUUAAUCUUUUCCUGCAGAAAUGGCACCAUGCAUCAGCCCCUUUCAGGAUGCAAUUCAACAUGUUAUUUCACAGACUGACAAAAUCUGCAAAUUAGAGGUCCAGUAUAUUAAUGCAGUAAAAGGACGUGGCGUAUUUGCAAAGGGUACAAUUUGUAAAGGAGACUUUGUUGUACAAUAUAGGGGGGAUAUGAUAAGUGAUGCAGAAUCACAGAGAAGGAGAAAACUUUACCACCCCUCAUGUGCUGCAUUCAUGUUUGCCUUCAAGUGGAGAGGGAAAACAUGGUGUGUUGAUGCCUCCAGAGAAGAUGGCUCAAUUGGGCGACUAGUUAAUGAUGAACACAGACGUCCUAACUCGAAAAUGAAAAAAAUGUAUGUUAAUGGAGUACCCCACCUUUGUGUAUUUGCCCUGGAUGACAUCAAAGAAGGAGAAGAAAUCACCUAUGAUUAUGGAGGUGAAGACUGCCCAUGGCGAACACAAACGACCAGCAUCACUGUUGACACCAUGGAGGAGGAUGACUCUGAUCCUGUCCACUCAGAGAGUCUGAUAGAUGGUGCCUUUGCGCCAAAGACCACACCU